CGAACGGGUGAGUAACGCGUGAGGAACCUGCCUCAAAGAGGGGGACAACAGUUGGAAACGACUGCUAAUACCGCAUAAGCCCACGGCUCGGCAUCGAGCAGAGGGAAAAGGAGUGAUCCGCUUUGAGAUGGCCUCGCGUCCGAUUAGCUAGUUGGUGAGGUAACGGCCCACCAAGGCAACGAUCGGUAGCCGGACUGAGAGGUUGAACGGCCACAUUGGGACUGAGACACGGCCCAG
rnacentral:rRNA from 1 species